GGGAGCGGCAGACGGGAUAGUAACACGUGGGAACGUACCCUUCAGUUCGGAACAACCAAGGGAAACUUUGGCUAAUACCGAAUACGUCCGUAAGGAGAAAGAUUUAUCGCUGAAGGAUCGGCCCGCGUCUGAUUAGCUAGUUGGUGAGGUAAUGGCUCACCAAGGCGACGAUCAGUAGCUGGUCUGAGAGGAUGAUCAGCAUCACUGGGACUGAGACACGGCCCAGACUCCUACGGGAGGCAGCAGUGGGGAAUAUUGGACAAUGGGCGCAAGCCUGAUCCAGCCAUGCCGCGUGGAUGAUGAAGGCCCUAGGGUUGUAAAGUCCUUUCGGCGGGGAAGAUAAUGACGGUACCCGCAGAAGAAGCCCCGGCUAACUUCGUGCC
rnacentral:rRNA from 1 species